UACGAAUGGAGCGAGCGUUGUUCGGAAUCACUGGGCGUAAAGGGUGCGCAGGCGGUCAUGAAAGUUAGAAGUGAAAUCCCAGGGCUCAACCCUGGAAUGGCUUUUAAAACUCCAUGACUAGAGUAUUGGAGAGGUUAGCGGAAUUCCGAGUGUAGAGGUGAAAUUCGCAGAUAUUCGGAGGAACACCAAUGGCGUAGGCAGCUAACUGGACAAUUACUGACGCUCAUGCACGAAAGCGUGGGGAUCAAACAGGAUUAGAUACCCUGGUAGUCCACGCCCUAAACGAUGUGUGCUAGUUGUCGGGACCUUUAGGUUUCGGUGACGCAGCUAACGCUUUAAGCACACCGCCUGGGGAGUACGGUCGCAAGAUUAAA
rnacentral:rRNA from 1 species